GGCGCUGUGGUGCAGUGGGUUAACGCGCUGGCCUGAAGUGCCAGCAUCCCAUAUGGACACUGGUUUGAGUCCUGGCUGCUCCU
rnacentral:tRNA from 1 species